rnacentral:rRNA from 1 species
ACCGGGAUGGACGCACCGCUGGUGUACCAGUUGUUCUGCCAAGGGCAUCGCUGGGUAGCUAUGUGCGGAGGGGAUAAGUGCUGAAAGCAUCUAAGCAUGAAGCCCCCCUCAAGAUGAGAUUUCCCAUUCCGCAAGGAAGUAAGAUCCCUGAAAGAUGAUCAGGUUGAUAGGUCUGAGGUGGAAGUGUGGC